AUGGCGGCGACUCGUCCAUUCCUCUACUACCUUGGCGUUCUGCUGUUCCUGGCCAUGGCGGCAUCGGGAGCGGCGGCGUUUGGCCUCCCGCGAGGCGUGUCGCCUGCCUACUGCGCCAACGAGUUCCUGCAGUACCACGGGAUCUCGCAGAACGAAAAGGCGGCCAUCCACCUCGGCAACACCAAGUCCUGCAUCGCCGGCUACGGAGGCCGACUGGAUCCCUACACCGCGUACCAGCUCUGCAUCCCCUCCUGGGUUGCCUUCGCACACAACGGCACCCUCGUCGGAGAGGCCGCCAUGAACCACGCCGCCGUCAGCCCCGGGACGGCCGUCUCCGGCUUCAAGCGACUCCUCGGCAUCAGGAUUUACAACGAGAUGGUGAAAAGAGAGGCAGAGCUAGUGCCGUACCAGUUCACCGAACAGCUGGGAAGAUGCGGCAUCCAGAUGGAAACCGAAGAAGGCCACGUGAUGAAUUUCCUUCCCGAGCGUGUGGCCGGCGUCCUCAUGGCCGAGCUUAAGAAGAUGGCGGAGGCGCGCCUGGGCCGCGAGAUCGAGAGCGCCCUUGUCACCGUCCCCGGGCACUUCAAUGGUGCCCAACGGAGUUCGGUCAGGAGAGAAGCUGCGCGGUUGCAUGAUGGUUUCGGUGUCGCCAAGAUCGUCGACGAGCAGGUCGCGGCAGCAGCGGCAUAUCGCCUUCACGAGAAGAGGGGCGACGGCAAGGUCGUCCUCGUCUUCCAUCUCGGUGGCCGCACAAGCCAUGCUACAAAGUUCAGAUUCAAGGAUGGCACGGGUCAUCUCCUCGAGGAACGCCAUGAUGCCUACCUCGGAGGUACGUGUCGAUACUCCAUACACAGCUCCUGA
rnacentral:rRNA from 1 species